rnacentral:lncRNA from 1 species
UCCUCUCUUCUUCCUUUGGUUGACGCCUAUCUUCCUGUUCACCCAGAGGUCUCUUUAUUUCCCCUCAUUUCCUCUAAGGCAAAUUUCGUGAAAAUAGGCUUGGCAUCGCACCGGCAGGGUAUGGAAUAAGUUGGGUUAGAUGAGUAUUGGACACAAUGCCAGGAAGUCUCGCCCAUUAGGGCGGCAGAAAAAUUCUUCUGGGCACAGCCCGCAAUCUUAUUUUCCAACAGUUAUGUUGUCAUCGAAGUGAUUUCUUAUGUUUAUUUACAUUUAUCGAAGCAUGCCUUAGCUUCCUGAUCGCCAGCGGACGCGCCGUCGCCAGAGAGCAGUUGCCCUCGAGAGCUGAUGAGAGAGAAAAGGGGGCAAAAGAAAUGACUUAAUUAAUUCGAAGCAAAACGGGUACAGCGAUUUAUGAGGAACCCAGCUGGGUCGGUUCCGGUUAAUCUGGCUACACCUAUGCCGAACCGGAUCCAAUACUGCGAAAACAAAGGGACAAAAAGUGAAGUUAUUUAAAAAUCAAGGGAGAAAAUAAUAUCCGACACAUUAUCUUCAGAUCUGGUUUCUCCCAACAAUACUAUAUCCCAACUACAGUUGUCUCAGCUCAAUAAAAUAUUAUUUCGUUGACAUCUCGAUUGUAUAUAGAGAGAGGUAGCCUGCAGGAGACCAACCUCUGUGUCUCAUCGCCUCAUUAGAAGCCAUUCAUUCAGGAGCGGGCAAUGGCUGGAGGAAUCUGGGCGUUCUGCACGGUGCUCCUGGCCGUGGCGACGUUGGGAGCCCAAACGGCCUACGGCGAUGUCCCGACGGAGGUGCAGAAGAAGAUCAACUCUAUCAACCAAAAUGGGACAUACCUCGGCGUGGUGAUACCCAACGCCUUUGAGAUGAACCCCCUGCUCCAGUCUCCGAGUUAUUCACCGGACAAGGGCCUGCCUUACGUCGAUUUUGCCGGUGAAUCUCCAUCACCUCGUCGACUGUCAAACGGGGGCAAUCGAUCUGCAGACCAGGUUUUCGAAACGAUGAUGAUGAUCAGUUCAUAAAUUCUUUUUAUUUCCCUCUUGGAUCAGGGAGGAGGUUUCGCUUUGGCACUAUAGAAGGAAAGAAGGUUAUACUGGUCAUGACAGGACUCGGCAUGGUACGUUUCUCAGUGCGCUUUCUGUUUUCCAAAUUUAAAUGAAUACCAGAAAAAAUACGAUUUCUCGACGCUCAGGAGAUUCGACUGUUAGAGAUGAAAGCCCAAUAUAGACUUAGCGCGGAAGCUAGAAGACAGAAACGAAAUGAACAACUCACAAUUGGAGACACAAGGAUUUACGUGGUUCGGAGGUUGGCCUCCUACGUCCACGGGCGGCGAUGAAAAACUCCACUAGAUGUAAAAGAAGUACAGAAUAGCACUCCCCAGAACCCAGAAUACAGACCUCUAAUCUUGGCCCUCAAAGAACUCAUUAGUUCCUCACCAACAAGUAGAGAUCACUCUGUUGGAAACUCACUCCCAACCCUUUGGUACCCUCUGGUCAUUGGUGCUACUAUUGAUGCUACAUAUGAGAUGAGAAGAGAUGGCCUCUAUUUAUAGACCUCCUAGAACCGCCU